ACCUGGUAGUGUGUUGUCAGACGUCGGGUGGGGUGAACGUCGCUCUCCCGCUCUCUCAGGCUUCAGUGGGCGUGUGGGUGUGAAGCGUGGGUGUGUGGGGGUGUUGGUCUUGAGUGUGGGUGUCACUAGCCGCCAAGACGAGGAGUAAACACACGCACAGACAGCCUCCAGCUCGUCCCUGAUCGCUAACAACUGCAAUAAUGGGUCGACAGGUUCACGGCGGCGCCAGCGAAGGUGCAGCCCCGCCCCCUCUGUCGCACUUGCCCGGGUCAAAGAGCAACAAGAGGGCGCCCGCUAAACUGCCCCGCGCCCCGCCCCACCCCAGUGCCCCGUGAAGGAGAUCGGGACGGAAGCUGGACUGGGUCGCGUGUGUGUGUGUACUUGUGUUGGUGUGUGUUGGUGUGGUGGUGUCUCGCGUGUGUCGGGUGCGUGGGCGGUAACUGGUGGGCACAUAGAGGUCUCUGCUCUGAGUCUCCGGCGUCAUGGUCCUUCUGUGGACGCAGCACGAGGGUGAGCGGGUGGAGCCCCAGCCCACAGACGACCACGUGCAGGAGGUGCGGAAGGACGGGGGCGUGAAUGGUGCCUGCAAACACCCGCACCCCCACCGCCCACCCCAGGGCAAGGACAAACUCACUGGCGACGCAGCAGGCAGUAAGGCAGGCACCAGCAGCACCACCGCCUCCCCACCAGGUCGCAGCAACACCCUGAGAAUCACGACGCCCUCAGAGAAACACGUGGUCACUCUCCGUCAAAUAUCCGAGGUCUUUGAUGCCACUAAGAGCAGCAUCACCUCCUCACCCACCUCGCUCUCCUCCUCUUUCUCCUCUCCCUCCUCCUCCACUGUGUCUCCCUGCAUCCCCUCGACCUCCAGCACUCCUCUAGGCACAGUGGUGGAGGUGGAGAGGGUGGAAGACGGCGGGAUCGGUGUGGAGAGCGUGGCUAAGGUGGAAAAGGUAUCGAAGGUGUCUACUCUUGGCCUCAACUCCCGCCUGUUGCUGGAGGAGGAGGAGCAGGACGGGGAGGAGAGUGCGGAGGCAGGCAAGAAGAAGAGGAGCCAGAAGAGGAAGUUUUACACGCUGCCAAGGAACUGGAGGAGCAAAGCAACGGACUUCAUUCUCACUAAAGGGAAUGAGAUUGAGGAGCUGGGCAGCGCCCAAGUGGAAACUCUCGAGCUGGGGAAGACGCUGUGUGAGUACUGCGCCAAGAAGUGCUCGGGGGAGGUGCUUCGCGUGCAGGAGAAGUACUUCCACAUCAACUGCUUCAAGUGUCACAGCUGCAAGAAGUCGCUAGCUCAGGGCGGUUUCUUCACGCGAGAGAAGGAUUACUACUGCACUGAAUGUUACCAGAAGAACUUCGGCCAGCGGUGCGCCACUUGCGGUCUCUACGUGGAGGGCGAGGUGGUGUCCGCCCUCGGGAACUCCUAUCAUCAAAAGUGCUUCACCUGUGCCCGUUGCAGACAGCCAUUCCCAACCGGGGAGCGUGUCACCUACACAGGGAAGGAGUGCCUGUGCCAGCGAUGCCUCCACAUUCCUGUUGUGGACUCCCAGUCACCCAGCCGCUCCCCCACCGCAGCCGGACCGAAAUGUGCCGGGUGCAAGGAAGAGCUGGUGGAGGGCCAAGCACUCAUUGCCCUGGACCAGCAGUGGCACAUCUGGUGCUUCAAGUGUGCAGUCUGCAGCACUGUCCUUCAUGGGGAGUAUAUGGGAAAGGACGGUCUCCCCUAUUGCGAGAAGGACUACCAGGCCCAGUUUGGGGUAAAGUGUGCCUACUGCAACCGUUACAUCAGCGGCAAGGUGCUGCAGGCAGGUGACAAUCACCACUUCCACCCAACGUGUGCCCGGUGCACCAAGUGUGGUGAUCCAUUUGGGGAUGGGGAAGAGAUGUAUUUGCAAGGCACUGCUAUUUGGCACCCCCGCUGUGGCCCCGGACCCACUGAAAAUGGCACAGUCCUGAAUGGCUCGCUGUCCAAUGGCCACCACAUUAACGGUGACCAGAAGGCUGAGAGGGAGCGAGACUUUGAUGGUAUGAGCUCCACUGCGUCAGAAACACAGUUUUCCCGUUCCCGCACACCAAGCCUUAAUGGAUCCUUCCGCUCCUAUAGUCCUUAUAACAGCCUGAACAGGAAGUUCUCAGGCCCUUACCGCACUUGCUCACCGGGCUUGAUCCUGAGGGAAUACAAGUCCUCGCAGAGCCCUAUUGACAUCACACGCAUCUACACCUACUCAUAUCUCACUGCGGAGCCUUCCCAAGGGUACCUCAAGCGCCCUCUGGACCCAUACGACCGUCCCCCACCUAAGUCGCCACAUUUCCACCGUCCACCAACUGAUAGCAGGAAGCUAUCACUGCCUAAGACCUCAAGCCGGCUGGGGAUGAAGGUGCUGGUGGAUCAGAUGCAGUCUGACACUCCAAGGCCCAAGUCCCCACACAUGAACAACGAGGAGCCAAUCAUCCUUUCCCAUUACCCCGGCGGCCGCAAGCCACAUCAAGGCGACGUGUCCCGCAUCGAACGAGACGACUUCCCCGCCCCGCCUUACCCCUACACCGACCCUGCUCCGGCCUCACGGGCAGAUGUUUCAGAGAGGCGGAGGAGAUGGUCAGGCAGCAACAAGGCUGUCAGCAUUGACGAGACUGACGAGGGGACCGAGCAGGAGGACGAGAGCUUGGUUGAGGAUCCUAAACUAAAAAGAGAAGAGGUUGAAUUAAGCAAGAUUGCAACGGGCAUUGGUAAAGUGUUCCUUCAACAAGUGAAGGAGAGGGAGAAGAUUCGUGCAUGGAAGGCCACUCACUUGGACCCUCGCAAUGCCUCCCGAACCCCAGCGGCCGACCGUGAACCGGGGAACAAACUGCGUUUCGGUUCAUCCCUAAAUGCUUCCCCUUCACGGAUGACAGACCACAGCCGCCCGUGGGGACCAGAAGAAGACGAGUUUGACAGGGGCUCCUCCUACCGUUGUUCCACGGGCAGGUCCUCCGCCACCAUUCCCUCUUAUAACGUUGUAUCAGCCCUCCGUGGAGAGCCUAAACCUGGUUACGGACUCAAGUCCUCCACUCUGCCAGCGGCUGGACGUAAUGGUGGCUCUGCUGGAAUGAUGUCGUCAGCUCCCUCAGGCAGCCUCCAAAGCCGGGCUACGGUUUUUCACCACGCAACACGUUCUACCGCCAGGGCCUUGGAUCCUAUUCUGCACUCCAUGGUGACUACAGUUUCUCCGGCCUAGGAGAGAAGACACAGAGCACUGAGUUCAGUAGCGCUCGCUCAGACGUUUCAGCAGGUUCGCUCACAGAAGCCGAUAGGAGUGCAUUGAACGCAGAGUUGUGUGCAUCCGCAACAUACAGUAGUGGCCUGCGUGGCUACUCUUCAUACUCCCCACAUCUGCGUCGUUCACUGCCCAACAUGCACCAUAU
rnacentral:misc_RNA from 1 species